UACGAAGGGGGCUAGCGUUGCUCGGAAUCACUGGGCGUAAAGCGCACGUAGGCGGCUUUCUAAGUCAGGGGUGAAAUCCCGGAGCUCAACUCCGGAACUGCCUUUGAUACUGGAGAGCUUGAGUCCGGGAGAGGUGAGUGGAACUGCGAGUGUAGAGGUGAAAUUCGUAGAUAUUCGCAAGAACACCAGUGGCGAAGGCAGGUCUCUGGGCCGAUACUGACGCUGAGGAGCGAAAGCGUGGGGAGCGAACAGG
rnacentral:rRNA from 1 species